AAUUGACGGGGACCCGCACAAGCGGUGGAUGAUGUGGUUUAAUUCGAUGCAACGCGAAAAACCUUACCCACCUUUGACAUGUACGGAAGUCGCUAGAGAUAGCUUCGUGCUCGAAAGAGAGCCGUAACACAGGUGCUGCAUGGCUGUCGUCAGCUCGUGUCGUGAGAUGUUGGGUUAAGUCCCGCAACGAGCGCAACCCUUGUCAUUUGUCACUACAUUCAGUUGGGCACUCUACUGAGACUGCCGGUGACAAACCGGAGGAAGGUGGGGACGACGUCAAGUCCUCAUGGCCCUUAUAGGUGGGGCUACACACGUCAUACAAUGGCUGGUACAAAGGGUUGCCACCCCGCGAGGGGGAGCUAAUCCCAUAAAGCCAGUCGUAGUCCGGAACGCAGUCUGCAACUCGACUGCGUGAAGUCGGAAUCGCUAGUAAUCGUGGAUCAGAAUGUCACGGUGAAUACGUUCCCGGGUCUUGUACACACCGCCCGUCACACCAUGGGAGCGGCUUCUGCCUGAAGUAGUUAGCCUAACCGCAAGGAGGGCGAUUACCACGGCAGGGUUCGUGACUGGGGUGAAGUCGUAACAAGGUAACCGU
rnacentral:rRNA from 1 species